GAUGAAUGCUGGCGGCGUGCCUAAUACAUGCAAGUCGAGCGAAUGGAUUAAGAGCUUGCUCUUAUGAAGUUAGCGGCGGACGGGUGAGUAACACGUGGGUAACCUGCCCAUAAGACUGGGAUAACUCCGGGAAACCGGGGCUAAUACCGGAUAACAUUUUGAACCGCAUGGUUCGGAAUUGAAAGGCGGCUUCGGCUGUCACUUAUGGAUGGACCCGCGUCGCAUUAGCUAGUUGGUGAGGUAACGGCUCACCAAGGCAACGAUGCGUAGCCGACCUGAGAGGGUGAUCGGCCACACUGGGACUGAGACACGGCCCAGACUCCUACGGGUGGCAGCAGUAGGGAAUCUUCCGCAAUGGACGAAAGUCUGACGGAGCAACGCCGCGUGAGUGAUGAAGGCUUUCGGGUCGUAAAACUCUGUUGUUAGGGAAGAACAAGUGCUAGUUGAAUAAGCUGGCACCUUGACGGUACCUAACCAGAAAGCCACGGCUAACUACGUGCCAGCAGCCGCAGUAA
rnacentral:rRNA from 1 species